AAUUUUGGACCAUGGGGGCAACCCUGAUCCAGCCAUCCCGCGUGUGCGAUGAAGGCCUUCGGGUUGUAAAGCACUUUUGGCAGGGAAGAACAGGCGCGGGCUAAUACCCGGCGCCGCUGCCGGUACCUGCAGAAUAAGCACCGGCUCACUCCUUGCCAGCAGCCGCGGUAACACGUAUGGUGCAAGCGUUAAUCGGAAUUACCGGUCGUAAAGCGAGCGCAGGCGGGUCGGCAAGAAAGAUGUGAAAUCCCGGGGCGUAACCGCGGAACUGCAUUCUUAACUGCCGGGCUAGAGUAUGUCAGAGGGGGGUAGAAUUCCACGUGUAGCAGUGAAAUGCGUAGAGAUGUGGAGGAAUACCGAUGGCGAAGGCAGCCCCCUGGGAUGAUACUGACGCUCAUGCACGAAAGCGUGGGGAGCAAACA
rnacentral:rRNA from 1 species